AUUUGCACUCCGAUUCUUUCGUGUUUUAAUACUGUUUUAUAGGCAUUCAAAAAGACUAGAAGAAUGAAAUUUAUAAAUUCCGCGGCUAAUGCGACUGAAGAGGAUAGUAAUAGUAAAUUAUCCGAUUCAGUACGACUUUACUUUUAAGACCAACUAAUUCAAAAUACCAUUACUACCACAGAAUUACUCGAUCAAACGUCAUUCGUGUUCAAUACAAUUUUUUAUCUACGGUUUAGUUUUAAUAAUGUUGCCACGUACGGCUCUGUAAACCAUUCGACGUAUUUAAGAAAUUUGUGGAAAAAUAAUUUAAAUAUCACGUAAACCCACCACCAUUUAAGAGUAGCGUCGUGAAAAUGUUAACACCCAGACCCCAGAAGCAAUACUCCUACACUCUCAACCCUCCAUCUAUCAGAAUCAGAAUCCUUUGUACCAAAAAUCCCCAUCAAGGGCAGCACUGCCUUUACCAAGGAAAAUCGGUUUCCAUCGCAUUACGGCAGUACGAUAGCGCUGAGUUGAGCUUCUACGCCAUCUUCAUCAAUAUUUGAAUUUAAAAUUUCGUUUUUUGCUAACACGCGCCAUGUUUAUUUCUUUUCUUUUGAUUUUUCUCGCCUCCAAUAACGGCGCUUUUCUGCGUCCCAAUUCCUAUCGGCCCAAGCCCAUUUGGACAACCGAACAGAGAACACCCACACGCAGAGAACACCCACAUAGCCACCACCACCCAGCAUCGCGACUCAAUUCUAAAGUCCAUUUCCACCCCCAUGCCGACUUGGCCCAGAAUUGCGUUUUGUUUUAUUACGCGAGCAUUUUCUUUCAUUAAUAGCCGCGAGGCAUUAAAUUUUUAAAUCAUCAACUUGCGCAAGGAUAGGAGUGGAUGGAAAGCACGGGCAAGGAAGAAGGAAACGAUGGGGACCGAAAAGAGACGGAAAAUGGAAUGGGUUGGCUAUUCGAUGGAGGGCAGGAGCAAGUACCGUAAGAAGACUUCACUAAUGAUGUUUUCGGUACAGUCGCGUAUAAUUUUGUACAGUGGUCUUGGGAAAAGCGAUUUUUCUCCACUGUUGAAUUAACAUCAUUGACUAGAUAACAAGUGAUUGUGUGUCAAUAAAGCUAUCACCUUGAGGUAGGACCUCUGAAACUGCAUCGCCGAAAGCUCGUCCAAGGCGCUGACAAGUCUCAGUAAGGAUCGUUUGUCACUCUUGUUGGCACGAUACUAUCCAUAUGCAAAUGACGAGAUCUUAAACUGGCAAUAACCAACCCCACUGAGUCCUAUGUGCGUCACUAAGUCAGCUUGCAGCUGCGCUCUGGUCUUCCUAUGACUGUCCUGUUCCAGCUCCCAGUCCUCAUUCUGGACGUUAAGUUACCGGACAUUUAAUAGUCUGACCAAGGGGACGGGAAACAUCGCGAAAACUGGUUUUCUCACGCUAAGCCAAAUCAAUCCGGAACAACGAUCGGGGUUGGGUUAGCUGGGUAGUCGGGUUGGGCAGGCCGAGCCAGAUGGCCAUGCGAGUUGGGGUUGGGUCAGUUGGUUUAAAUUUGCAUAAGCGUCCGACCUUCGGCAACUGGAAUAAGGACCGCUAUAAAGUGGUCGGACUGGUUCUGUUGUGUCUCAAAUCAGACAUAUGCAACAAUCGAGUCUUUUUCCUUUAUCCCUUGGCCCGAGCCUGGUUUUCCGUAGCGCAACUCACCACACGUCCGCUCUCACAUGUGAAUAUACAGUCUCAGUUGCUUUUGGCAAACAUUUUUCCCUUACAUUGUCUCACUUAAGGUUUCGCUUUGAACCGCCGCAGUUGAGUUUUAAGGAAGCUAUCGUAAACAUGUGUGGAGGAGGAUGAAAAUUGUGUGCUUAUCGACCAACGCUUACGUUGUAGAAUACUGAUAUCUACAUUUGCUGGAAAAGAAGUCUAAUACUCGUAGUGUAUAGUCGUGUGUUUGUUUAUACAAAAGGGUAUCACUGUAUGGUCGUAUAAUACUCACGUGCUGAAAUGAAUGCAAUGGAGACAACCGUGCAGAUUGCUUUCAGUUAUUAAAAAGUUAUAUUGCAGUGAAAUCAAGGAACAACGCUAUAGUCGAGGGCUGCGACUGUUAUAUAAAUUUAUUAUAAUAAUAAUCAGUUAAAAGAAGAGCAAAAUAUAUGAAGAUAUGCAAGCAACCAGCAAGUCCUGUAGCAUGCAUAAAUUAUAUGCAAGCUAGUAGUAAAGAGUAACAGUUUACAUACGCACUAAUAUCACAUGCUAAUAUUUUUCAGUGAACUUUUACAGUUAACUUUUAACAGCCGCCUAAUGAUCCAAUUUUAAUAAUUUCGAACAAUACUCACCCCCAACACGAACGUAAUCAGAUGCGGCCACUCAAUAACGGUGCAAUCGCUGUGUCUUCUUUGCUUAUACAUAUUUAUGUUGGUAAUAUUAUUGUAAAUAUGUACAUAUAUAUUUUAUACUCGGACGAAAAACAUACGCGUCUAGCCACUUAGGGAAAUGAACAUGAGAACAGUAAAACUGUCAAUAACUACGAGUUUCCCACUAACACGGUACAUACAUAUGUAUGUAGGUUUAAAACAUUUAAAAUCAGAAUGUAAGCUUACUUUGUUAAAACUAUGUCAUAUGUUUGUAUGUAUGUAUAUAUAGAUUUCUCUCUUGUUAAAACUAUGUCAUAUGUUUGUAUGUAUGUAUAUAUAAAGAUUUCUCUCUUGUUUUUCUUUAUAUCACCCAUCUCCUAAUUUAUUAGAAAGAAACUGCAGUUUUUUUUUACUAUUUAGACUUUUUAAAUAAUUAAUUUAAUUUAAUUUAUGAAAUCAAAAAAAAUUCCAGUCAGCACAUACACACUUUUAUAAAAUGCUUAAAAAGAUAUUUUUUUCUGACGUGUGCAUCCUAUUAGGUGUUGACGAAAGAUUUUUGCAGAAUUACUUGAACAACUGUGCUUUAUAUUAAGCUUAAAUUUAAAGAAGGGAAAACACUAUAGUCGAUUUUUUGGAUUUCUUUUCCGGGAGUGCUGGAAAAAUAUUUAAAAAUUUUUUUGGCAUAUCGAUAGAAAUGGGCAAGAUAUUUAAUAAAUUUAAAAAAAAAAACAAGAGUGAACGCUAUAGUCGAGUUCCCCGGCUAUUUGAUACCCGUUACUCAGCAAGUGGAAGUCCGAAGGAGAAAUUUCAACACUGACAGAAUUUGGCGGUUUAUGGGCGUUAGAGUGGGCAAAAAUAUAACAAAAUAUAAACCCAUGUGCGCAUUAGAGUGAGCGUGUCAACAUGGAUCAAAAAACUUGCGCUGCGUCUAUGUCUCUGGAGUCUGCAUGCUUAAUCUCAACAUUCUAUAUAUAUGUAUACUUUAUAUGGUCGAAAACGCUUCCUUCUGCCUGUAACUCUUCAACGAAUCAAGUAAACUCUACGAAUAUACCCGUAUAGCAAAAAAAUAAUUUUAAAUGUGUGGGUGUACCAGUUUUAAAAGUUAAAGUGCGUGGGACAAGUUUUUGUUAGCAUAAAAAAAUGUUCUGAAACAAACUUGCAUAGCAUAUGCAUUCUAGAAUCUGCAUGUCUAAUCUUUACUUUCUAACUUUUAUAGUUCCCGAGAUCACAACGUUUAUACGGAUAUGGCUAGAUCUACUCGGUUAGUGAUCGUGAAUAUAUACACUGUUUUCGGUCUGAAACGCUUUCUUCUCCCUGCACAUACUCUUCAACGAAUGUAAUAUACCCGUAUACUCUACGGGUAGUUGCUAUAAGGACCUCAUCGUUUCUUCUAAGCACAUGUACUGCGUAUGGAUUAAAUAGACGCUGUCUUUAAUACUUUUCAAAGAGCAUCAAUAGUAGUUAGCUUUUUAGAAUCAUUCAUAACAUACAUACAAAUAAUAAAUAUUGCUAAUUAAACAAAACUAAUGGAAA